CCCUUAGAUGUUCUGGGCCGCACACGCGCUACACUGAAGGAGGCAGCGUGUACUCCUGGAUCGAAAGAUUUGGGUAACCCGCGAAUCUCCUUCGUGCUAGGGAUUGAGGUUUGCAAUGAUCCUUCAUGAACGAGGAAUUCCCAGUAAGUGCAAGUCAUAAGCUUGCGCUGACUACGUCCCUGCCCUUUGUACACACCGCCCGUCGCUACUACCGAUUGAAUGAUUUAGUGAGGACUUCAGACUGGGACCGAUGCGGCUUUCGGGCUGCGUCGGUAUUCUGGAAAGAUGUCCAAACUGUAUCAUUUAGAGGAAGUAAAAGUCGUANCA
rnacentral:rRNA from 1 species